UACGUAGGGUGCGAGCGUUGCCCGGAUUUAUUGGGCUUAAAGGGUGCGUAGGCGGUCUUUUAAGUCAGUGCUGAAAUACUCCAGCUUAACUGGAGGGGUGGCAUUGAUACUGGAAGACUUGAGUAUAGUAGAGGUAGGCGGAAUUGACGGUGUAGCGGUGAAAUGCUUAGAUAUCGUCAAGAACACCGAUAGUGAAGACAGCUUACUAAGCUAUAACUGACGCUGAGGCGCGAAAGUGUGGGGAUCAAACAGG
rnacentral:rRNA from 1 species